UGACUACUGAAUACAAGCAUGCGAUUGGUUACUCGUACAAAUGUUUCUUUCAUAAUGGAAAAAGGGCCACGAAACUGUCUUCCAAUGCAACCAUUAAGUAGUAAAGUAAGUAGCCAUUGGAUUCAACCCUUCAUCGGUUGAACUAUCUACUUGGGCCGAAUCUAAUUGGUUUCGUUGAGCUUCUGGUAUUACUACAAUUCCAUUGCUAUCUAAUUUUGCGAUAGAGGCACAGGACUAGGCGUUUUAGGUACUGACGAACUAACUGUAUGACCAACAGACACUGAACUUUGUGACUGAGGUAUCAUUAGUAGGAACUGACAUGGAAGGUGUAUUUGAUUGAUGGCGGGAAGUAUAAAAAGGAAGACAGGGAUUGACAUUUUGAGGUAUAUGCCAACGAGCUGUAGGUGGUUGUUGCAUAGGAUAAUUUAUAUGUUGUGCGGAUGGAGAAGUUGGAUUACAUUG